GAGUGUUUGUUGUGGGGGAGGAAGGGAAAGGAGAAUGUUAGCCACUUUGAGACUCCUUAAAGGGAGUGAAAGGCGGGAUAUCAAAUCGAAACUCUUCUUCUUCUUCUAACAUUCUCCUUUCCCUUCCUCCUGCACAACAAACACUCU